rnacentral:rRNA from 1 species
UACAGAGGGUGCGAGCGUUAAUCGGAAUUACUGGGCGUAAAGCGUGUGUAGGUGGUUGCCGUAGUCAGGCGUGAAAGCCUUGAGCUCAACUCAAGAAAUGCGCUUGAUACUGGGCAGCUAGAGGACCGGAGAGGAUAGUGGAAUUCCCAGUGUAGUGGUGAAAUACGUAGAGAUUGGGAAGAACACCAGUGGCGAAGGCGGCUAUCUGGACGGUUUCUGACACUAAGACACGAAAGCGUGGGGAGCAAACAGG